ACAGUACUCCCUCCGUCCGGAAAUACUUGUCGGAGAAAUGCAUAAAAAUGGAUGUAUCUAGAACUAAAAUACAUCUAGAUACAUCCAUUCCUCUGACAAGUAUUUUCGGACGGAGGGAGUAUUUG
rnacentral:pre_miRNA from 1 species